AGGGUAUAGCUUGGUGGUAGAGCAUGUGCUUAUUUUAGCAUGCACAAGGUCCUGGGUUCAAUUCCCCAGUACCUCUA
rnacentral:tRNA from 1 species